AGAUAUAUUUACACUCUAUUCUGUCUCUCUCUCACACACACACACGAUAUACACGUCUGUCCCAAACACUACCAAACCUCACCCCCACUCACCACCCCGACUCACCAUCUCUGCUAACAGUCACCAUCGAACUUCCACCACCGACCAUCGCGGCUCUCGCUACCGUCGCUUACCAUCGCGGCUCUCGCCACCGUUGCUCACCAUCGCGGCCCCCUUCCCAGCCACAUUCAAGUUUCUCUCUCUCUCUCUCCCUUCCUCUAUUUCCCCAUUUCACCAUCACGGAUCUAGGGUUUUAUUUUAUUUUUGAUGCUAUAGGAUUUUAAUAAAAUCAUUUUAGGGUUUUACUCUUUUUCUACAGUCGAAGCACAUGUGAGCUCCAAGUUGUGUUUAAUUCCAAACUUUUGUUGCUCUAUUUAAGCAAUCAUGAAGAAUUGCUUAAAUUGCUGAGUAGAGUUAUAUGUGUAGAUAUAUAUAUAUAUAGUAUUGUUAAGUAGAUAGCAAUUGAUUUAAGGUACUGAACAAUUUAAGAAUAUUAUUAGUAGGUAAGUUAAUGGAAAAUUUUAGGAGUAUAUUGAUGUAGAUUAUAUAUGCUUACACUUCUUCCUCGAAGGAGUGUAGAUUGAUAUAGAUUAUAUAUGCUCAUGCUCUGUUUUUUCCCCUUCUAUUGCUUCAGAGUUAUACAAUUGAUGAGAGGAAAUUUUAGUUGUUAAUGCUCAAGCUCUGUUUUUUUUUUCCCUUCUUGAAUGACACUGGGUAGAUAUACUAGCAUGCCAAUAGACAAGCACAACUUCUUUUUUUUUUUUUAAUAUGCUUUAUUUGUUAUGCCAUAUAAUGAACCAAAUAUGCUCUGAAUACCUAUAAAUCUUUCCUAUGUAUUUCAACAAAAAUCAGCUUAAUUAAAAUCUUCCAACCAUUCAUGUUUAAUUAAAUAUAUCAGUGGUUCAAUCUAGGCAAAGCUCUCCCUUCCCAAGGCUAUAACAGGGGCUCAUAACAGGCUCAUUACAUCACCACCUGUUGCUAUUUUUCCUCACCCCUUUGCAAGUGAUCUUAGUUUCUCAAGGUACUGGAAUUACUUGAGGAAGCACACAUUUGUUCUGUAUGGCUGUCGUUCAUGUUGUAGCAACUAAGUAUUCAUUCUAAAGGGCAAUCACUUCAGGAUACAGCUCUUACUUCUCGUGGUAGGAAUAUUACUUUUACAAGUAGGUUGUAAGUGUUAAAGAUUGAUGAGCAGAAUUGUGAGUGUCCAUGUCCUACUGAUUUUAAAAUUACAAAGGUAUCUAGCAAUAGGCGUCUAGAAUUUAGUAAUAGCCCAUUGAAGCAUAAUGUGAGAUUAAGGGGAUUGCUAGCAUAAUUCGAUCAAAUAGGAAAAGUGUGUUGAGCAGUAUACUUGCUGGAAUGCAUCUUAUAUAGUUUUUAAUUAAUUAAAUCAAAACUGUCUGAUUACUAGAAACUCCUUGAUGUCUUAUGUUUGUAGUGCCAUGGCACAUUUAUUCAAGGCUUCUGUUGUGUGUCUGUUUUACUUGUGAUACAAUUCCUCGUAUGAAAAUAGUUUUGUACUUGGAAUAAAAAGCUCAAGCUAGAGAUUGAAGUGUUGGGAUUUCAA